GAUGAACGCUGGCGGCGUGCUUAACACAUGCAAGUCGAACGAUGAAGCCCAGCUUGCUGGGUGGAUUAGUGGCGAACGGGUGAGUAACACGUGAGUAACCUGCCCUUAACUCUGGGAUAAGCCUGGGAAACUGGGUCUAAUACCGGAUAGGAGCGUCCACCGCAUGGUGGGUGUUGGAAAGAUUUAUCGGUUUUGGAUGGACUCGCGGCCUAUCAGCUUGUUGGUGAGGUAAUGGCUCACCAAGGCGACGACGGGUAGCCGGCCUGAGAGGGUGACCGGCCACACUGGGACUGAGACACGGCCCAGACUCCUACGGGAGGCAGCAGUGGGGAAUAUUGCACAAUGGGCGCAAGCCUGAUGCAACGACGCCGCGUGAGGGAUGACGGCCUUCGGGUUGUAAACCUCUUUCAGUAGGGAAGAAGCGAAAGUGACGGUACCUGCAGAAGAAGCACCGGCUAACUACGUG
rnacentral:rRNA from 1 species